rnacentral:lncRNA from 1 species
CGCAAAGCGUUCUGGGACUCGUGGUUCGCAGGGUCGUAAGGAAAAGCGGAGCGGCGUCCAGUCCAGCUGGAUGUUUCCCCAGCCGAGCUCGGGGUCCCGCGAGCUUCAGUCCCUGCUCAGCUUCACCCCGCGGGGGAUUCUGGGAGGGGAUGUCGCGAGUCUCGAGUCGCUGGGCGGGUUUCCAGAACCCGCGGCGCCGCGGGGAGAAUGAAGAAACGUUGGCUCUGAGGGGACUGUGCAAUUUGUUAUUGGUUUGUAUUAAAAAUGAGCAAUGCCUGCCUCAAGCUGUAUUCCCGUGAAGUAAUAAAGGAUACUGUUCUCCAAAAGAGAAGAUUGAAGAAGGAAAGAAGAAUGGCUGUUGGACUUUGUAAAGCCAUGUCCCAGGUAAGUUGAUGUUUUCACUUUGUUUCCAGAAAUUCCACCUCAUUUUUUGGGACUUUGGGACCUCAGAGAGUCAGAAAUAGCCCAAUGAGCACUCUCACCACUUCUCUCUCUUAACUACUUCAAAUGAUCUCUCUACAAAUCAUUUACUAUCUUUUUUUCUCAGUGCUGUGCUCAAAUAUGUGAUGGAAAAGAACUAUCCUCUUUAGACGGAUCAUGACUUGUGCUGGCGAUCAGUGCAAGUGAAAUAAAGGACAGAGGUGUGAUUAUUGAGUGCCCUAU